GAUGAACGCUGGCGGCGUGCCUAAUACAUGCAAGUCGAGCGAACGGACGAGAAGCUUGCUUCUCUGAUGUUAGCGGCGGACGGGUGAGUAACACGUGGAUAACCUACCUAUAAGACUGGGAUAACUUCGGGAAACCGGAGCUAAUACCGGAUAAUAUUUUGAACCGCAUGGUUCAAAAGUGAAAGACGGUCUUGCUGUCACCUAUAGAUGGAUCCGCGCUGCAUUAGCUAGUUGGUAAGAUAACGGCUUACCAAGGCAACGAUGCAUAGCCGACCUGAGAGGGUGAUCGGCCACACUGGAACUGAGACACGGUCCAGACUCCUACGGGAGGCAGCAGUAGGGAAUCUUCCGCAAUGGGCGAAAGCCUGACGGAGCAACGCCGCGUGAGUGAUGAAGGUCUUCGGAUCGUAAAACUCUGUUAUUAGGGAAGAACAUAUGUGUAAGUAACUGUGCACAUCUUGACGGUACCUAAUCAGAAAGCCACGGCUAACUACGUGCCAGCAGCCGCGGUAAUACGUAGGUGGCAAGCGUUAUCCGGAAUUAUUGGGCGUAAAGCGCGCGUAGGCGGUUUUUUAAGUCUGAUGUGAAAGCCCACGGCUCAACCGUGGAGGGUCAUUGGAAACUGGAAAACUUGAGUGCAGAAGAGGAAAGUGGAAUUCCAUGUGUAGCGGUGAAAUGCGCAGAGAUAUGGAGGAACACCAGUGGCGAAGGCGACUUUCUGGUCUGUAACUGACGCUGAUGUGCGAAAGCGUGGGGAUCAAACAGGAUUAGAUACCCUGGUAGUCCACGCCGUAAACGAUGAGUGCUAAGUGUUAGGGGGUUUCCGCCCCUUAGUGCUGCAGCUAACGCAUUAAGCACUCCGCCUGGGGAGUACGACCGCAAGGUUGAAACUCAAAGGAAUUGACGGGGACCCGCACAAGCGGUGGAGCAUGUGGUUUAAUUCGAAGCAACGCGAAGAACCUUACCAAAUCUUGACAUCCUUUGACAACUCUAGAGAUAGAGCUUUCCCCUUCGGGGGACAAAGUGACAGGUGGUGCAUGGUUGUCGUCAGCUCGUGUCGUGAGAUGUUGGGUUAAGUCCCGCAACGAGCGCAACCCUUAAGCUUAGUUGCCAUCAUUAAGUUGGGCACUCUAAGUUGACUGCCGGUGACAAACCGGAGGAAGGUGGGGAUGACGUCAAAUCAUCAUGCCCCUUAUGAUUUGGGCUACACACGUGCUACAAUGGACAAUACAAAGGGCAGCGAAACCGCGAGGUCAAGCAAAUCCCAUAAAGUUGUUCUCAGUUCGGAUUGUAGUCUGCAACUCGACUACAUGAAGCUGGAAUCGCUAGUAAUCGUAGAUCAGCAUGCUACGGUGAAUACGUUCCCGGGUCU
rnacentral:rRNA from 1 species